ACUGAAACACUGAUUCCCGUGUGAACACCGACGUAAAGCAACGUCGAGCCUGGUCAGUACCUAGAUGGGUAACCUCUGAGGAUUAUCAGGUGCUA